CUUAUGGAUUUUUUAAAAUCCACAUUAGUUCUUAACUAAGAAAGUAU
rfam:Musca domestica strain aabys unplaced genomic scaffold Scaffold1859, whole genome shotgun sequence.